UCAAACCUAGUCGUGCCUCAGAAAUCACCGCUGCCAACUAAGUUGCCGAACCCCAGCGAAGGCACGAUUCCUAAAAGGUUGCUGUUUAACCCUAAUCCCCUUGUCUGUCAGCUGAAAGCCUCGUUUCAAGUUCCAAGACUCUCUUACUUUCCUGACUUGUUCAAGAGAAGACUAUCUCUGUUUCGUUAACUAAAUUAGUGCAUUAUUCCACACAGUUGAUAAAAGGUUAUGGGCCCAGGUUCUAACGAAACCGCCAUACUGUAAAACAGAAAUGAACUGCUCUGGGUCAAGGGAAUUAAGCAACAUCAUUAAAUUCAAUGGAACCAACUUCCCACUUUGGAAACUCGGUCUAUUUGUAUCACUGGAAGAACAGGAAGUGCUGUCCAUAGUUGAUGGAACCACUCGUAUCCCAGAUGAGAAUUAUAGAAUGAUUCCAAAUGAAAACGAU